rnacentral:rRNA from 1 species
AGAACGAACGCUGGCGGCAGGCCUAACACAUGCAAGUCGAGCGAGAUUUUCGGAUCUAGCGGCGGACGGGUGAGUAACGCGUGGGAAUAUGCCCUUUGGUACGGAAUAGCCUCGGGAAACUGAGAGUAAUACCGUAUGCGCCCAUGGACCGCGGAGGUUUAUGGGGAAAGAUUUAUCGCCGAAGGAUUAGCCCGCGUUGGAUUAGGUAGUUGGUGGGGUAAUGGCCUACCAAGCCGACGAUCCAUAGCUGGUUUGAGAGGAUGAUCAGCCACACUGGGACUGAGACACGGCCCAGACUCCUACGGAGCAGCAGUGGGAAUCGUUAAGA